rnacentral:rRNA from 1 species
UUCGGAUGAAGAUCUUGGUGACUGAGUGGCGGACGGGUGAGUAACGCGUGGGUAACCUGCCUCAUACAGGGGGACAACAGUUGGAAACGACUGCUAAUACCGCAUAAGCCCACGAUGCUGCAUGGCACAGCGGGAAAAGGAUUUAUUCGCUUCAGGAUGGACUCGCGUCCAAUUAGCUAGUUGGUGAGGUAACGGCCCACCAAGGCGACGAUUGGUAGCCGGACUGAGAGGUUGAACGGCCACAUUGGGACUGAGACACGGCCCAGACUCC